GAUGAAGAACGUAGCGAAAUGCGAUAAGUAAUGUGAAUUGCAGAAUUCAGUGAAUCAUCGAAUCUUUGAACGCACAUUGCGCCCGCCAGUAUUCUGGCGGGCAUGCCUGUUCGAGCGUCAUUACAACCCUCAGGCCCCCGGGCCUGGCGUUGGGGAUCGGCGAGGCGCCCCCCGCGGGCACGCGCCGUCCCCCAAAUACAGUGGCGGUCCCGCCGCAGCUUCCAUUGCGUAGUAGCUAACACCUCGCAACUGGAGAGCGGCGCGGCCAUGCCGUAAAACACCCAACUUCUGAAUGUUGACCUCGAAUCAGGUAGGAAUACCCGCAGAACUUAAGCAUAUCAAUAAGCGGAGGA
rnacentral:misc_RNA from 1 species